CAAUAGCGUAUAUUAAAGUUGUUGCAGUUAGAACGCUCGUAGUCGGAUUUCGGGGCGGGCCGACCGGUCUGCCGAUGGGUACGCACUGGUCGGCGCGUCCUUCCUUCCGGAGACCGUGCCUACUCUUAACUGAGCGGGGGCGGGAGACGGAUCGUUUACUUUGAAAAAAUCAGAGUGUUUCAAGCAGGCAGCUCGCUCUUGCAUGGAUUAGCAUGGGAUAAUGAAAUAGGACUUUGGUGCUAUUUUGUUGGUUUCGAACACCGAAGUAAUGAUUAACAGGGACAGUCAGGGGCACUCGUAUUCCGCCGAGAGAGGUGAAAUUCUCAGACCAGCGGAAGACGAACUACUGCGAAANCANNNGCCAGGGAUGUUUUCACNGA
rnacentral:rRNA from 1 species